GCAGCCGCAUGGCAGAGCUGCACGCCGGGAGAGAGAAGCUGGAAUAAAGCUGUCAGGGUGUCAGCAACACAAACCGAUAACACUGUCACUGCGGAGCCACACAGCAGAACACCGACUCACUGCAGGACUUCACCCCGAGUAAACUCACCUUUGAGACGGUCAUAUGGUGGGGAGGCGUCGGCAGGUGGCGGAGGAUUCCCUGGAGGAGCCGAACAAGAAACCUCAACAACAAACUGAUACACUCUCUGAACAUUGGAAUUGCCCCAGGGUUUUUAAUUUCUAGGAAAUGGUAUUCACAACCUUAUCUGACCUACUUGAUAUUAAAGUGCCACAUUGUCCAAAGCUGCUCUUGUUGAAUGAAACCCCCUUUAAAGAUGACAGUAUCACAAAUGCUAAAUGUGAAACAACCAUUGGCGCCUUGGACUCCACCAGGUCAGAGUCCCUGUUUUAACAUUGUAACGCAAAUCAUAUACAAAUAAAACCAAACAGUUUAUCUUCGCAUGUCAA